GUGGGUAGUUUGACUGGGGCGGUCUCCUCCUAAAGAGUAACGGAGGAGCACGAAGGUUGGCUAAUCCUGGUCGGACAUCAGGAGGUUAGUGCAAUGGCAUAAGCCAGCUUGACUGCGAGCGUGACGGCGCGAGCAGGUGCGAAAGCAGGUCAUAGUGAUCCGGUGGUUCUGAAUGGAAGGGCCAUCGCUCAACGGAUAAAAGGUACUCCGGGGAUAACAGGCUGAUACCGCCCAAGAGUUCAUAUCGACGGCGGUGUUUGGCACCUCGAUGUCGGCUCAUCACAUCCUGGGGCUGAAGUAGGUCCCAAGGGUAUGGCUGUUCGCCAUUUAAAGUGGUACGCGAGCUGGGUUUAGAACGUCGUGAGACAGUUCGGUCCCUAUCUGCCGUGGGCGCUGGAGAACUGAGGGGGGCUGCUCCUAGUACGAGAGGACCGGAGUGGACGCAUCACUGGUGUUCGGGUUGUCAUGCCAAUGGCACUGCCCGGUAGCUAAAUGCGGAAGAGAUAAGUGCUGAAAGCAUCUAAGCACGAAACUUGCCCCGAGAUGAGUUCUCCCUGACUCCUUGAGAGUCCUGAAGGAACGUUGAAGACGACGACGUUGAUAGGCCGGGUGUGUAAGCGC
rnacentral:rRNA from 1 species